GGCAGCAGCGGCUUCGGAUCGAAGAGCAGCGGCGGCAGCGGCUUCGAGUCCGUGACGAAGAUAAGUGACCACGACCUAAUGAGUGCAAAGGGCGCCACCAUCACUGCCAAAAAGGAGGAGUCUCCAGAGAAGGUGCAACAUAAGAAGCAGACGGUGAUCAUCACCCAGACCAUCAUCGAUGGCCACAUCGUUGAGGAGAGCCAGGAGAUCGCCGAGACCAAAUUCGUCGACUGAGGCCACGUGCCGUGACGUGACGACCGCCUCCACGCAUGCCGUGACGUCGCUUCCUGUCGCGACGUCACUUCCCCUCGUGACGUCGUCACCUCCCCCACGCCCCCGCCCUCCCCGCGCCGUGACGUCGUCGCGGAUUCUGCUGUCGGUUGUCGCCAUCCGCCUGUGCUCUGUGCCUUGGGGUCGCUUGCACACUCACACACAUACACAUACAUACACAUACACACAUACAUACACACACAUACACACUCACACACACACACACACAGACACACAUACACA